rnacentral:rRNA from 1 species
UACGUAGGGUGCAAGCGUUAAUCGGAAUUACUGGGCGUAAAGCGUGCGCAGGCGGUUAUGCAAGACAGAUGUGAAAUCCCCGGGCUUAACCUGGGAACUGCAUUUGAGACUGCAUAGCUAGAGUACGGUAGAGGGGGAUGGAAUUCCGCGUGUAGCAGUGAAAUGCGUAGAUAUGCGGAGGAACACCGAUGGCGAAGGCAGUCCCCUGGACCUGUACUGACGCUCAUGCACGAAAGCGUGGGGAGCAAACAGG